UACGUAGGGGCCAAGCGUUGUCCGGAUUUAUUGGGCGUAAAGAGCUCGUAGGCGGUUCGGUAAGUCGGGUGUGAAAACUUUGGGCUCAACCCAAAGCCUGCACCCGAUACUGCUGUGACUUGAGUCCGGUAGGGGAGUGGGGAAUUCCUGGUGUAGCGGUGGAAUGCGCAGAUAUCAGGAGGAACACCGGUGGCGAAGGCGCCACUCUGGGCCGGUACUGACGCUGAGGAGCGAAAGCGUGGGGAGCGAACAGG
rnacentral:rRNA from 1 species